AGCGAACGCUGGCGGCAGGCUUAACACAUGCAAGUCGAGCGGGCGUAGCAAUACGUCCGCGGCAGACGGGUGAGUAACGCGUGGGAACGUACCUUUUGGUUCGGAACAACACAGGGAAACUUGUGCUAAUACCGGAUAAGCCCUUACGGGGAAAGAUUUAUCGCCGCAAGAUCGGCCCGCGUCUGAUUAGCUAGUUGGUGCGGUAACGUCUCACCAAGGCGCCGAUCAGUAGCUGGUCUGAGAGGAUGGUCAGCCACAUUGGGACUGAGACACGGCCCAAACUCCUACGGGAGGCAGCAGUGGGGAAUAUUGGACAAUGGGGGCAACCCUGAUCCAGCCAUGCCGCGUGAGUGAUGAAGGCCCUAGGGUUGUAAAGCUCUUUUGUGCGGGAAGAUAAUGACGGUACCGAAAGAAUAAGCCCCGGCUAACUUCGUG
rnacentral:rRNA from 1 species